rnacentral:rRNA from 1 species
CAGCCGCCGCGGGAAUACGAAGGGGGCUAGCGUUGUUCGGAUUUACUGGGCGUAAAGGGCGCGUAGGCGGGCUUCUCAGUCAGGGGUGAAAUCCCAAGGCUCAACCUUGGAACUGCCUUUGAUACUGGAAGUCUUGAGUUCGAGAGAGGUAAGUGGAACUGCGAGUGUAGAGGUGAAAUUCGUAGAUAUUCGGAAGAACACCAGUGGCGAAGGCGACUGACUGGACAAGUAUUGACGCUGAGGUGCGAAAGGGUGGGGAGCAAACAGGAUUAGAUACCCCCGUAGUCCCUGUCUCUUAUAC